AACGCUCUGGAGCUUUCUGGCCUCUCCUGCCUGGCAGCUCAGCCCUGCUGUCCCCUCCUGCUCCUGAGGACCUGAUGGGUGCUCUGCUCCAGCUCAGUCCUCCUGCGGAUGAGGUCUGACUUCCCAAUGGCUUUUUUUAGCACAGUGUGAGCUUUGCCUGACAUUUCUCCUGAACUAAAUAAGUCCCCAGCUCGGUUUACACUCGCUGGAUCUCCCUGCCAAGGGUGGCACUUCUGACAUUGCUUCAAGGAACGGGCACAGAUCCAGCCUCACCUUAUCCCAGGGGAUGAAUUCACAGCUGGGGCUACAGCUUUACCCCCUUGGAGGAUCUCACCGUUUGGAUUUUCAGAAAGCCAUCAGGAAUCUGCCCUGUUUUGCCUCUCUGGGAUCUGCCUCUCAGCACUCAACUGUCACCAGUUGCAAUCUGUCUGCUCUGCAGUUGUCUGAGUGUGUGAAAUCAAACAUCACAGCAGCUCCUACCUGCCAUGGGGACAAUGCAAGAGUUGAUGUCUGACAGCUCAGAAACCUCAGAAACCCAGAACUGCUGGCUCAUUCAGAGCUACAACUAAAGACCUUCAGUUCAGCAAGUUCUCAGCAACAGCAAAGGAGAGCUGGGAAGGAGCUGUGCCAUCCCACAAGGUGGAUUUGUCUCCUGGAGCUGGUGGGAGGAGCAGAGCAGGAGCCAGCAGCUCCUGGAGCCUUCUUCCAAUUUGGAGAACGCUGUCCUUUACUCACAUCCCACGAGGAUGUAAAUCCAGCUGAGUCUUGGAAAGGAUGACUGGAAGGAGAACUGAAGCCUGGAAGAAGCACUGGGCAGUCGCUGGAUCAGGGAUUUUGAAUUAGCCUCAUUAGCAUGCAUUAAUUAGAUUUCUGCAGAGGCAGAGACAGCGGGCUUCAGGAAAACGAUAUCCUGCUUUUUGUCAGCAGCCUCAGAUGCUCCGGAGGAAGGGGAACUGCUCCUUCCCCGGGGACAGCAGCUCCUGGGCAGGAGGGACAUUCCAGAGGCUGAGCAGCUGCAGCGGCUGGGGAUGCUCAGCCAGCCCAGAAAGCAAGAAGUGCUGGAAGAUGCUGCCCUGGGAGAGGUGUAGGAAAGGGAUAAUCCUGUCCUGAGCAGUCCUGGGCUGGCAGGUGGCAGCAGGGACAUGGUGUCACCACGGCCCCUGAGCAGAGACAGGCACAGGGUCAGGUGCAAGUGAAGUCAGGUGGAAGCUGCAGGCAAGAAAUGCCCAUUGUUUGCUGGCAAGUUGGCUUUUCUCUCACCCAAGCCACAAGAAUCCCAAGCCCUUUGUCCAGCUUCAGCCUGAGUGUCUGGGAGUGUCCUUGCUGAGGGAAAUGUCACCAGGGAAGACAGCAAAGGGUUUCUCAUAGAGGUCACCAAACAGCUUGGAGGGGAAGGUGCUUUUUUCUAAACAGAAGAGUAAACUUGGGCAAAAGGCUGCUGAGACUGGCACAGGGGCCUGCCUGAAUUCCCUGGGGUUUCCCAUUCCUCCAGGAAAUACCCACUUUGGGAAUUCUGUCCCUUUACUUAAAUUUGGCCAUUUCUCCCCACUGCUCAUCCUGAUGUGCUUGACUGGAGUGUGACUGCCUUGGCCAGAACCCAAACCAGCCCUGGUGUGUUGGGUAAUCCCACGGGAUACAAAUCCCACAUCCCAUGGGAUUCUAUGGGCUACAAAUCCCUGUGCUGCAGCUGCUGCAGAACCUUUUGAACCUGAGAGCGUUCAGCACUGAGCAGAGGCUGCAGGAGCACACAGAGCAGGAGGUGUGGGGACAUUUCUGCAGCUCAGAGCCUUUUCUGGUUUUGUGCAGCUGUGGCCAAACUGUCAUUAGCUCCCCAGGUCACUGAGCUGUGACAGAAGUGUUUGUGCAUUAGAUAAAGGUUCUGAUUAAUUAUCUGAGCACCUCGUGGCCUUUCAUGAGCUCAGUCUGCACGGAAAGGGUGAGCUCUGUUUCACAGAUAGGACCAAGAAACAGCAAGAGCUAAGAGAUUUCUUAAUUCUUCUUUGAAUUUCUCAUGUAGGGCUUGGUCCCUUUGUCCCCUGUCACUGUUGGUUUGGCUCUGCUUUGGAGCUGCCUGUCCUGAUGAGAACCUUCCCUGAGGCCACGGGCCAGACCACAGCCCCCAGAACAUCCUCAUGGAUUUUAGGGUCUUUUAUCCUUCCUAAAGACCACAGCAACCCCAAAUCCCUGCCCCUGGAGCAGGAGCAGGUUCUCAAUCUGUUCUCUGUUCCAUCCAGAGAGGGAAGCAGGGAUGGAUCCUGAGAGCUCUCCCAAAUUUCAGUCCCUGGCCCCAUCCCCAGGCACAUCCUGCCCUGGGCUUGGAGGAGCCCAGCUGGGACCUGCUGGAGGACAGAUCCUGGACCAGGACCAGUCCUGGACCCACAGGACACAUUCCCAGUCUGGAAUCAGCACUCAGGGUGGUGGUGAGGAAAGGAAAGAGGCCUCAACUGUGCAGAUGGGACAUGGGUUUGUAGGAAAAGCAAGGAGGAUUUUUAGGGGGCUGCUGGAAGGAAGGAAAUUUGUGUGGGAGAGACUCAGUGUCUUCUUGUGGAAAAGUCUGGAAGCUGCAGAUCAUCCCCAGACCCCAAUCUCCCAGCAGGGACAGUCAGCAGCGGUUCCACAGAAACCUUUGCAACCUCAACACCCCUUAUGGCCCUGAGCAGCCUCACCCGGGGCUCCCCACGGCUGCUCACGGUUCCAGUUCAGCUCAGCCCUCAUUCCCUUCCUUGCCUUGGGCACACUCAGCUCUGAGCCUGCCUCCAGCACAGACCUUUCAGCAGGUAAUUUCCCUCUGGGAUCAACCCUUGGAUGCACAUUUUAAUUUAUUUCCAGGCUGGGUUUUGAUCCUGGCUCCUGAGGGAAGUUUUGGGGUCUUGCUGUGGGCUUGUCUCCAAUCCUGGCCCUGUCUCCUUUUAUUCUGGAAUUCCUGGCUGGAGCCUGGGCUGUGCUUGUCCUGCCUGGGAUUGUUGAGGGGCUGAGCUGCUCCUCCAGGAGGGUUUUGGGGAGGGGUGAGGGUGUUCCCUGUGCUGGGGUUAUCCCUGGAUCCCAGGUUCCUGCUCAGCCCAAGGCUGCACCCAAACCCCUGAGGGUGCCUGGAGAGCUGCUGCCUCCCAAAGAAAGUGCUUGGAGCAAAACGGAUUCCAAGGCUGGUGUUAGAGGGGGAAAUUUUAGGAUUUGGAGUGGGUGCAGGGCUUGACAAGGUGUUGGUGCUUCCUAUAUGUUCCCAGGGAAAAGAAAAAUAUCUUAAGAUUUCAGCUCCUUAAGCUGCCAAAACCCUUUUAGGCUCUCACCUGGCACAUUUUACAUAAAAGUGAAAGCCAGGCCCCUUCUCCUUCAAUCCAGGGCCUAUUCUGGUUUUGUUUUAAUUUUUUCCUUUCAAGCACGAAAUCCCCCAUAAUGGGGUGAUGUGGCUCUCCCUUCUUCCCUGCCACCCAUUUCUUGCUUCCCCGGAGUUCAUCCCAAAUUCAGACAAUUGUAUUUCCAGGGUAAAUAAUUUUUCUGACAAUGAUUUUUAGCUUCUUGGGCUGAUUUACUCUUUUAAGUUUAUUUUUCAGCUCCAAGCUCUGCCUAAAUAGACUUUCCUUUGCUGCAAAUGUGCCUUCAGAGCAGGAAGGAACUUGACUUUGUGAAGAUUUAUGGCCCUUUUAACCUCAUUAUGGGACUAUUUGUAACAAUCAGCUUCAGUUCCACUUGAGAUAGUAAAAUUUCUGUAAGCCCUUAUUUGCCUCAGGCUGGAAGGUAUCAGCUACUGAAAAGCAAUGAAAUGAAGGAAUUUAUCCACAUAAAAUAUUGCAAAUGUGCUGUUAAAAGCUGGAUCCUGUCUUGAGUUUUUAAUGCAAGAGUCUAAGGAUGUGGAGUUGGGAAUGAAAUGGAGGUGGAGAAGAAAUAAAAUAAAAUGUUAAUUACUAAAAAUGUCAAAACCAACAAAAUAAUCACAAAAAAACUCUACUUGAAAUAGUUUCAAAUUAACUUUUAAUGAUUUCUAGCUGAAAUGAAAACAAGAUGAAAAGGUGUAGGGAAAGAGAAGUUGUUAUUAAGAGGACUUGAGAGGAGAAAAAGAUGUUUUAUUAAAACAAGGAACCUGAUGAAAUUUUGAUACAAAGCACUUUCACCACUUUUGGUCUGACAUAUUUCCAUCCAACCGGAAUUUAUUUUCGCAGCAAAUACAAACCUGAGGGGGUUUAAGGAAAUAUUUCCUUCAGCAAGUGCUUCAUUUUCCCUUUCUCCUUCUUCUCUGCAGCUGCUGGUUUAUCUUUAAUUAAAAAUAGAUUUAGAGGGUUGCUGAUAACGGGAUCCUUUCCAACCCAGGAGAGCCCGUGACACAUUUCAUUUCCCAGAAUUUAUCUGGGACAUCCAAUGUCAUUAUCAAUGCUUUCAAUUUAGAGUUAAAUAACUUUCCAAAGGGUGUGAAAGUGGUGAGGAGACAGAGUCUUGUUCUGUAAACCUCAAGGGAGAAAUAGCUUUGCUUGGGCUGACAGUUUAACAGGUGUUUUUGGUGUGUUGGUUUGGGGUUUUUUGUAAUUUUAACCACUUCUUCAAAGCUGUGUCUGCUUUGAAGGUCAGAGUGUCCAUGGGAAAUGACAUGAUUUUCAGGCUGUGUCUGCCAGGGAUGCAGAUUUAUUGUGGAAUUAUGAAGAUAGCAAAAGUUCAGCCUUUUCAUGCCCAUAAUCUUUUUUUAAUUGUUUGAAAAACCUGUUACAAUGACCAAGAGAAGUUGGGUUCCCUUUGAGGGCAAGGACGGUCUGGAUAAAGGGAUUCACGAGGAGAAUCACUAAAACCAGCACCUGUAUUUUUAGGGUCUCACACUAAUUUCCAGAAUUUCUGUCUCUGGGAUUGUGUCUCUGCUGUCUCAGUGCCAAGGGGUGACCCUGAGUUGCAGUUUUGAAGCAAUUUGAUAUCAGUGAGCAAUUCCUCAUGGGAGAGGGGGGUGGAAAAUGGGCCCAGCAGGGGCUUGUUCCACACCUGAGCCUCAUCCUCAGGUCAGAACCAGGGUGGGGACAGCAGGAGAAGAGGAGUUUGUGUGAUGAGUGGUGUAAUAAUUGGAUUUAGGGUAACUCUGGGUGUUUUUUUGUGCUCUGCCCAGCUGUGGCUGCCCCUGGAUCCCUGGAAGUGUCCAAGGCUGGGUUGGACAGGGCUUGGAACAACCUGGUGAAAGGUGUCCCUGCCCAUGACAGUGGCAGUGACAAAGCACUGGAGGAGCUUUGAGGUCCCUUCAUCCCAAACAAUUCCAAGAAUCUCUAAUUCUAAUCCUUUGCAGUAGCUGGGAGGAGAUAAAUGAAGGAUUUAUUCCCUUGUGCCUAAAAAAAUUCCCUUAGAAAAAAUGCAAUCCAUCCCUCAUUUUCCCCCUUUAAUGAAUUUGUGCCCUUGUCCCUGACACUGCUGAGCUUCCUCCUGGGGCUGUGCCUGCUGGAAUCCCAGUGGGAUUUGGGCAGGAUGGGGCUUCCCCUGUCACAUAACUCAGAUCUGGCUCUGACUGACACUGCCUGCAGCUCUGGGCACUGCCGUGGCAAAAACCGUUCCUGGCACGGGAAUAACAAACCUUUCAUCAAAGGAAUCUGUCAGUAUGAAACAAAGAAGAUGUCCCAGGGGAACAGGACCCUCAAAGCAGCUGGAGAGGGAGAAAUGUGAAUAAAUGGCAGAGGAUUUGCAGCAUCCCAGGCUGCCUUGGAUAAGCAGCUUUUGCAUGAGCUGGUUUUGAAGAGCCCUCAUUAUUUUUUUUUCCCUUAUCUUCCCUCUACUUACAGGGCUCAUGUGGAUGUUUUUCCUGCAAAAUACCCCCAGUUUUUUUUUUUUUUUUUUUUUUUUUUUUUUUUUUUCUAUCAGGGAAUGAAUUUACAGAAGUCAGCCCUUUCUGCUGUGUUUUCCUGGUUCCUGUGAGCUCCAGGGAGAUUUUUUUUGUGUUCCACGGCUGCCCUCUGGUGCUCUCUAAACCCGGAGCAGGACCCUGGGUGUCACUCAGCACAUUUUCAUAGGGAUUUCAUAGCCUGCAGCUACCGAGGGCUUGUUUCAUGUUGCUUCUCUUGUUCCAUUACUUCAUUUGAAAGUAUAAUUUAGGACUUUAAUGGACAGUCCCUAACGAAGGCGCUAUUUUGUUAUAACAGAUUUUUAUUUUUUUUUGCUAAAAUGUGGUUUCUUACAACUACAUUUGUUUUCUUCACUAAAUGCCUCACAAUUUCUGCAAACCUUUCCUUCUGAUUUAACAUUUCUUUUUAAUUUCUGUCAUCUUUUUAAUAUAUAUAACACUUCUGUGGUGCACUGUACUUCACACAGGAAAAAAACCACAAGAAGUGGCCCUUUUCUUUAAUUAUGCAGCAAUUAAAACUCUGUUCCCUUGAGUGGGAUGAUGUUUUUGGUCCAGAAAGCCAAGCAACCAAAUUAAGGAAUUUGGGAGCACCUUGGAUUUGCCCUUUCAAGGAGACUGAAAUGAGAGGCAAAAAGCCUGUGACAUUCAAGGCUUAAAAAUGAGAUUUUUGUCCCUGAGUGCACAUAUUCACCUAACUGUGAAUAAAUAAUGUUUUCCAGGAGAAGAGUGGGAAAAUAAACUCUGUAACGAGCAUAUUCCUGCUUUUCUAAGCCCCAGAGAAGGACUAAUGGGGUGGAUAGAAUUAUUUAUCACUGGAGUCAGCUCUCCUUGUGCUCAGAACCCAAAUCUUGACGUGGAUAAAAGUGAGGAGCAUCCUUUGGCACCUUCAGGGGUCAGAUUUUUACAAGAAUAUGCCUUAGAAAAGGAAAGGUCAGCAGGGUUUUGAAAGCUGUCCUUUGGGAAAGGGAGCAGGGAUUUGUGCCUGCCUUGGGGAGAGUCCUGAAAACCCCAGGAUGUUGAAAUCCAGGUCUCAGCACAGCACUUCCCACCCUGAAAAGGUUAAUUAAUGAAUCCAAGUCCUAAUGACAGUGAGGGCAGAGCUCCCAGUCCCUCCCAGCCUGUGGAGUUUAUUGACACAGAAUUCCUGCAGCAGGAGCAGGACAGGGGACAAGGCACUUGUGCCUGCUGGGAAUUGAGGCAAACAAAGCCCCAGUGCUCCCACAGAGCCCUGGCCACCUUCCAGGCCCCUGGUGGGAAAAAUAUCGAUUGAAACUUGCCAAAACCUCCUUUCUGGCAUUGCUGAAAGGGGUCUCAAAGAGUCCUGGUUUCUAAGGUUUAAUGUUAAUUUCUUGUUUCGGUCUGUAAUCAGUGAAUUAAAUAUGCUGCGCUUCAGAGAAGAGGAGUUUGAUUUGCAGCAAAGCACAGAACACAUCCCUGAAAAAUCCCUGCUUUUCCAAGUCUAGGACUGGUGCACCCCUCACCUGCACACUGCAGGAGGGAGGGGGAAAUCAGAAUCUCCAGGCAGUGGGAUUGUGACUUGUCACCUCCUGAAGCUUUGCUGAGCAGAAAAUAGGAGAAAAUCCUUGGAGAGGGGACUGGCAGGAGCUGGGGUGAGGGAGUAGCCCCUUCUCCCUGGGAACACAUCCCUGGUCUCAGGGAGCUGCAGGGAGAUGAGGUUUGGGUGGGAGUGGGGUGUCAGUCAGUCACUCACCCAUCCUUGGCUGUCAGAGCUCUCCUGAUGGAUCCAGGAGAUCUGGAUGCUGAUGGAUCCUCAGGAGUUUGGAGGUGGGACAGCUCUGGGGCUGCACAGCAACCAGAAAGUCUCCAGGAAAAGCAGAAAAUGGGAUCUGGGGAUGCUGCCUGGGCCCUGAGCGAUUCCAGAGCAGCUCAGAGCAAAUCAGGAGUUUUAAACUCGAGCCCAAUGAGGAGAGGUGUUGUAAACUUGUAGUAGCAGCAGCUCAGAAGUGUUCUGCUCAGCAGAGCUGUGCCAGGCUCUCGCUGCCUCGUGCCUGGCAAUUAUUUAGGGAUUGUGUCUGUGACAAGCAGUGCUGGGAGGUUCCUGCACGCCCCCUUAGCCCCCCAAAAGCUGCUGCCCUUUGCUGAGCUCUUGGCACAGGCACUGGUGUGGUUUUCAUUCCUGCACAGUCAUUUCUGCAGCAGGGAGCAGGAUGGGCUGUGGGGUGUGGGUGCUUUUUGGGUGAGAAAUGUCUGUGUGGGAGGUGAUACCAUCAGUGGCUCUGGACCUCGCAGCCUCUGCCCUUUGCGUGCUGCCUGUGAGAGAUGGGCUGACUACGGCAAAGUGACUCAUGCUGGUUUAACUUAUUUUACAUUUUAUGCUUUGUUUAGGGUUUUCCUUUCCUAUCUGUCCUACAUCACCUUCCUCUUCUGCCCUGUUAUAUUUGCUCUCUAGCCAGCUCUGUCCUUCCCUCUAGUUGUCAGAGGCUUCCUUUUGAUUAAUCUCUUUAUUUUUACUCUUCAUGUCUUUCCCCCAGUUGUCUGCACAUCCUCCUUUCAUCUCUCUCCAUUAUUCCUUGCAUCCUCCAUUCCCAUGGGAUCACAGAAGGACUUUGAACUGUCUCCUCUAUUUUUUAAUUAGGCAAAGCUUUCAGCCCAUCUUGGCUCUGAUUUUCCCACAGGGUAUCACGUUUAACAGGUAAAACCAUGCUCAGGGUAGGUUGAGGAGAUGUUUGGGGAGCAGCAGGUGCCAGGCAAUAUCCAGGUGGAUUUCCAGGGGCAGGUGAAUGCUGGAGUCUUACCUGAGAUGGGAUAAUCUGCAUUUCUCUUUGUUGUGGUGUCUCCUGAGCCAUCCCAGGGACACCAGAGAAAUGGUGGAGGGACACAGGAGAGUGCUGAGUUAUCCCUGAGCUCUACAACAGGUAUUUUAACCUCAGUUGUCACUUAAAAUGUGCACCAGAGCAUCAAAGCCCAAAAAGAAACACUGAGAGUGCCUAGAAAUCAAAUUUUCGCUAUUUUGAAAUCAUUUCAGAACUUUUGUCUUGAGCUCCAACACCAAAUCCAACGUGGCAGUGCUGGUUUGGCAUCCCAAGACCAGGCAGGCCGAAGGUUGUGGUUCAAUCAGUGGCCACCCAAAGUGUCCCAGGGCACAGCUGGAUGUUCACAGCCUCCUUCCCACCGCUGGGCUGUUGAACUGGGUUUUUGGAGGAGAAGAACAGCCCUGUCACCACUGUGUCCAUGAGAAGCCCUGUGCAGGUGCAGGGGUGGUUUGGCACUCCAGGUGUCCAACAUGCAGCAAUUUGCAGGUUCUGGGCCUCUGGUUUGGUUGUACAGCUCCGAGUCUGGGAGUUGUUGUCAUUUUAAGGAAAAAUUAUCUGUGUUAUUUCCAUGGUCUGGGAGAAACCUGCGAUGUGGGGAAGGGCUGGGGGUGAGCCUGCAGUUCUCCUGAUCCCCUGACAGAUCAGGGCCACUCAGCAGAGCCCCCCGAGGCUGCUCCAUCCCUCUGGAUUUGGGGGUGGCUUCAGGAGAGGCUGCACAGCCUCCGGGGUCACAUCCUGUGGCACAGCUCUGAGGCCACUGCUGGCCUGUGUUCAAACCAAAUGAGUUUGGGCAGCUGUGUGGGUUGGUUUUCUUCUUUUCUGUGUAUUUCUAAACAAUCAGUACAAAUUCCAGCCCUCCAAUUAACAGAGAAAAUCUAGAUUAUUUAAAGGGAAAUCAGUUUUUUGUCAGCAAUCUGCCCAGGCCUUUCCUAUGUUCAUCAGUGUGACUACAAACAAUAACUGAUUUAACAUCAAGGAGUACAGCAGCAAAGAUGUUUCUCUGCCUAAAAGUAUUUCUGAAAGAUUCCUUUGAAAAUAAAUCCUUGUUUGCUCUCUUGCACAGCAUCUUCACCAGAAA